rnacentral:rRNA from 1 species
UAUUGCGCAAUGGGGGCAACCCUGACGCAUCCAUGCCGCGUGAAUGAAGAAGGCCUUCGGGUUGUAAAGUUCUUUCGGUGAUGAGGAAGGAGGAUGUUUAAAUAGGGCAUUCAAUUGACGUUAAUCACAGAAGAAGCACCGGCUAACUCCGUGCCAGCAGCCGCGGUAAUACGGAGGGUGCGAGCGUUAAUCGGAAUAACUGGGCGUAAAGGGCACGCAGGCGGAUAAUUAAGUGAGAUGUGAAAUCCCCGAGCUUAACUUGGGAAUUGCAUUUCAUACUGGUUAUCUAGAGUCUUGUAGAGAGGGGUAGAAUUCCACGUGUAGCGGUGAAAUGCGUAGAGAUGUGGAGGAAUACCGGAGGCGAAGGCGGCCCCUUGGACAAAGACUGACGCUCAUUGCGAA